GGCUCGGUGGUGUAGUUGGUUAUCACGUCAGUCUAACAAGCUCCUCGCUUGGCAGCACACUGAAGGUCCCGAGUUCAAACCUCGGCUGAGUCA
rnacentral:tRNA from 1 species